UACGGAGGGUGCAAGCGUUAUCCGGAUUCACUGGGUUUAAAGGGUGCGUAGGUGGGAAUGUAAGUCAGUGGUGAAAUCUCCGUGCUUAACAUGGAAACUGCCAUUGAUACUAUGUUUCUUGAAUCUUCUGGAGGUCAGCGGAAUAUGUCAUGUAGCGGUGAAAUGCUUAGAUAUGACAUAGAACACCAAUUGCGAAGGCAGCUGACUACAGGGAUAUUGACACUGAGGCACGAAAGCGUGGGGAUCAAACAGG
rnacentral:rRNA from 1 species